UACGGGGGGGGCAAGCGUUGUUCGGAAUUACUGGGCGUAAAGGGCUCGUAGGCGGCCAACUAAGUCAUACGUGAAAUCCCUCGGCUUAACCGGGGAACUGCGUCUGAUACUGGAUGGCUUGAGUUCGGGAGAGGGAUGCGGAAUUCCAGGUGUAGCGGUGAAAUGCGUAGAUAUCCUAAGGAACACCGGUGGCGAAAGCGGCUCACUGGAUCUCUUCUGACGCUGAGGCACGAAAGCUAGGGUAGCGAACGGG
rnacentral:rRNA from 1 species